UGGGGAAUAUUGGACAAUGGGGGGAACCCUGAUCCAGCCAUGCCGCGUGUGUGAAGAAGGCCUUAUGGUUGUAAAGCACUUUAAGCGAGGAGGAGGGUACUGGUAUUAAUACUACCAGCUACUGGACGUUACUCGCAGAAUAAGCACCGGCUAACUCUGUGCCAGCAGCCGCGGUAAUACAGAGGGUGCGAGCGUUAAUCGGAUUUACUGGGCGUAAAGCGUGCGUAGGCGGCUAAUUGAGUCGGAUGUGAAAUCCCCGAGCUUAACUUGGGAAUUGCAUUCGAUACUGGUUAUCUAGAGUGUGGGAGAGGAUGGUAGAAUUCCAGGUGUAGCGGUGAAAUGCGUAGAGAUCUGGAGGAAUACCGAUGGCGAAGGCAGCCAUCUGGCCUAACACUGACGCUGAGGUACGAAAGCAUGGGGAGCAAACAGG
rnacentral:rRNA from 1 species